rnacentral:lncRNA from 1 species
CACAGUUCUAAAAAUAGAAUAGCAAAAAAACAAUUUAUUUUUUAUGUUUAAUUUUACAAGGUUACAUGUAAGGUUCCUUUUAAAAGAUAGAUUAGUAAAUUAUACUAUAUAGAUUUCUUAAAAUUACAUCCUAUUAAAACCCCUUAUUUGGCAUUUGAGGACAAAAAAGGGGGGGCACUGUAACCCAGCUCUGCUGUUAACCUCAAAUAUUUUGCGGAUUUUUAUUUCAUAGUAAGAACUCUUAGACCCCC